AUUGAACGCUGGCGGCAGGCCUAACACAUGCAAGUAGAACGAGUGGCGGACGGGUGAGUAAUGUCUGGGAAACUGCCCGAUGGAGGGGGAUAACUACUGGAAACGGUAGCUAAUACCGCAUACCAUCGGAUGUGCCCAGAUGGGAUUAGCUAGGAGGUGGGGUAACGGCUCACCUAGGCGUCAAUCCCUAGCUGGUCUGAGAGGAUGACCAGCCACGCUGGAACUGAGUCACGGUCCAGACUCCUACGGGAGGCAGCAGUGGGGAAUAUUGCACAAGUGGCGCAAGCCUGAUGCAGCCAUGCCGCGUGUAUGAAGAAGGCCUUCGGGUUGUAAAGUACUUUCAGCGGGGAGGCGUUACCCGCAGAAUAAGCACCGGCUAACUCCGUGCCAGCAGCCGCGGUAAUUC
rnacentral:rRNA from 1 species